rnacentral:tRNA from 1 species
GCCUGCCUGGCUCAGUAGGUAGAGCAGGAGACUCUUGAUCUCGAGAUCAUGAGUUCAAGCCCCACGUGGGGUC